CUUCUCUCAGCUUCACCAGUGUUUCUAUGGUCCUUUUGCUGUCAUUCAGCCGCUUCCCAGUCCCUGCUGCUACUUUCUGCACCCUCUUCUUGCCUCUCUGCUACCCAGCUUCAGCACCUCUCAUGCUCCAGCGGCUUACAGACAGGAACCAAGGGACAGUAACCAGGUGGGGAGGAUGGAAGCAACACGAAUGAGAAGCACGAUCAUGGCUGCUGCUACAUGCUGUGAUUCAUUUCAAGGACCUGCUCAGAACAAUGAGAAGCAGUAUUUCUGGACACCUCUCACUCAGGUGGAAUUGGCUCUGCCAGCUAGAUCCAAACCGUAAUGCUGAGAAAAGUGCUGUGAGUCCUGGAUUUACUUCCUGUGGGGUGACGAAAGGCACAGAUCAAAGUUUUGAAGCUUGGACACAGCAGCAAUGGCAGACAUAGCCCAGUGGUAUCCGCCACCACCAUACCAGAGGAGACAGAAGGAAGUCCCCGGUCCCAUUCCUCAACAGGAGCACACAAGCUCUUUAGCAGCCAUGUUCAUGACUGGCCCACGUGCAGGCCUUGAGCAGAACCCACACUGAUACAAACACCAUCCAGACCCUCCAACUGAGGAAGAACUGAAGCAUGGAGGAAGAGAAACCCAGAUUCAAAAGCUAUUUAGACACCUAAUGAUGCAGUGAGAUACCAGCUGGCAUUUCCAGAAAGCACUGUUUAGGCAGCUAGGAGACCAGCACAAGUCCGCUCCACAUCUGCCUACAGCCAAGCAGCAACCAGCAGGGUGGAAGCAGACAGGUCACCUGGGGAGCAGCAAGGGCCCUGUGUCAGCUGCUUCAUGAGAGCACCUUGCUGCCUGCUUCUCACUGUCAGCAAACAUGAGGCACUCUGAGGCUAAUGAAGGAGGAAUGUCUGCUAACGAAGCAGGAGUGAACCAUCUCAGGUUCCGCAUGGCAUACGGGAGUGUGAAUGGUUAUGGCUCUGCUAAGCUCUGGCACAAAGACUUACUAACUGAGCAUUACAGUUCCUAGAAAGAAACCCAACAAACUGGGAAAAUAAAACAUUCUGACC
rnacentral:lncRNA from 7 species